rnacentral:rRNA from 1 species
UACAGAGGCCACAAACGUUAAGCGGAGUCACUGGGCUUAAAGGGUGCGUAGGCGGGCCCGUAAGUGUCUUGUGAAAUCCCACGGCUCAACCGUGGAAUCGCUCGGCAUACUGCGGGCCUCGAGGCCGGUAGAGGUCGCUGGAACUGUUGGUGGAGCGGUGAAAUGCGUAGAUAUCAACAGGAACGCCCAUGGUGAAGACAGGCGACUGGGCCGGUUCUGACGCUGAGGCACGAAAGCGUGGGGAGAAAACAGG